rnacentral:rRNA from 1 species
AACGAACGCUGGCGGCGUGGAUAAGACAUGCAAGUCGAGCGGGAUUUUCUUUGGUAGCAAUACCAAAGGAAGUCUAGCGGCGAACGGGUGCUUAACACGUGGGCAACCUGCCAGGAAGUGGGGGAUAGCUCGCCGAAAGGCGAAUUAAUACCGCAUGUGAUUAGAGAGGACAUCCUUUCGAAAUUAAAGUCGGGGCAACCUGACGCUUCUUGUGGGGCCCGCGGCCUAUCAGCUAGUUGGUGGGGUAACGGCUCACCAAGGCUUUGACGGGUAGCUGGUCUGAGAGGACGACCAGCCACACUGGGACUGAGACACGGCCCAGACACCUACGGGUGGCAGCAGUCGAGAAUUUUUGACAAUGGGGGAAACCCUGAUCGAGCGACGCCGCGUGGAGGAUGAAAGUCUUCGGAUUGUAAACUCCUGUCAUUGGGGAACAAGGUGCAUACGUUAACUGCGUGUGCAUUGAUAGUACCCGAAGAGGAAGAGACGGCUAACUCUGUGCCAGCCGCCGCGGUAAUAC